UUUGAGAGGAGCUGUCCUUAGUACGAGAGGACCGGGAUGGACGCACCGCUGGUGUACCAGUUGUUCUGCCAAGGGCAUCGCUGGGUAGCUAUGUGCGGACGGGAUAAGUGCUGAAAGCAUCUAAGCAUGAAGCCCCCCUCAAGAUGAGAUUUCCCAUUCCGCAAGGAAGUAAGAUCCCUGAAAGAUGAUCAGGUUGAUAGGUCUGAGGUGGAAGCGUGGUGACACGUGGAGCUGACAGAUACUAAUAGAUCGAGGACUUAACCUAU
rnacentral:rRNA from 1 species